rnacentral:rRNA from 1 species
AUGUUACAGUUGGAUCUUUCAUACAACCAAUUUUUCGGACCGAUACAAGAGUUUGGUGGACUUACAAAUUUGAUGUUCAUAGAUCUAAGCUCAAACAAACUAACAGGUUCAGUAAAAUUAAGUUCAGUUUGGAAGUUAAGAAGGCUUACUUACUUAGGUCUCUCAGACAAUAGAUUAUUCGUGUUGGAUGGAGAAGGAAGUAUACCAUUACUCCCUAAAAUCUUGAGUUUAGGGCUUGCGUCUUGCAACCUGACAACAAUUCCUAGAUUCUUGAUGCAUGUCAAUCAUAUCAGCACAUUAGACAUUUCAAGCAACAAAAUACAUGGGACUAUACCCAAAUGGAUAUGGGAGACAUGGGAAGACAGCCUUAUACAUUUAAACCUUUCACACAACAUAUUUACAUAUAUGCAACUCACUUCACAUGUCCUUCCAACGAGUCGUUUGGAAUCUCUUGAUCUCAGUUCCAAUAGACUUCAAGGCCAGAUCCCGAUGCCAGCAGUUAGCAGUUCCCCACGAGUCAGAGAUCCUUCCUUUCAAAAAAGCCAACUCUUUGAUUAUUCAAAUAAUAGAUUCUCUUCUCUUUUGUCAAACUUCACUGCUUGUCUUAGCAAUACCACUUAUCUCAAACUUUCCAACAAUAACCUAAGUGGGCAUAUACCACAUUCAAUUUGCAAUCAUGACAAACUACAAGUCCUUGACGUGUCAUAUAAUAACUUCAGCGGGUUGAUACUUGAUACCAUCAUGUCUGCUAGAACAUAG